rnacentral:rRNA from 1 species
GCAUAUCAAUAAGCGGAGGAAAAGAAACCAACCGGGAUUGCCUCAGUAACGGCGAGUGAAGCGGCAAAAGCUCAAAUUUGAAAUCCUUCGGGAGUUGUAAUUUGUAGAGGGGUGUCUUUGGGGCGGCAUUGUCUAUGUUCCUUGGAACAGGACGUCACAGAGGGUGAGAAUCCCGUGCGAUGAUGCCUCAACCAGUACAAGACCCUCUCGACGAGUCGAGUUGUUUGGGAAUGCAGCUCUAAGUGGGUGGUAAAUUCCAUCUAAAGCUAAAUACUGGCGAGAGACCGAUAGCGAACAAGUACAGUGAUGGAAAGAUGAAAAGCACUUUGAAAAGAGAGUGAAACAGUACGUGAAAUUGUUGAAAGGGAAGGGUAGGAGGUGAGGGGAAGAGCUGCUUAGGCGCGGGAGAUAAACAAGCAGGAAGCGCUUCGGUGCGGCCUGGUAAAUAUCCCGUGCU